CACCUCCUCUCCUCCCUCCGUGGCUGAAAGCAAGAGUAGCAGAUAAGCAGACAGCCAGAGACCCACUAAUCCUCCCACAGUAGAGACAUUUCAGAUGAGAAUCAGGCUAAAUGGACAGAAAACAGGGGUGAGAGGAUGAAAGAAGAAGCUACCAGGGAAGGAAAGAUAGGCGAGCGGAAAAAGUCAAGUAAGAAUGAGCAAAAUGGUGGAGACAAAAGAGGGAUUCUCAUUUUGCGUGCUGUGAAGUGACAGCUAAGAGUCAUUUUUAUUUUCACUCAUUGAGAUAAUGUUUCGCUUUUUUGAACAUUUUUUCUAUAAAUAUUGCUAUUUGCAAGCCGAGCCCUCCACUCAUUUCUUCUUAUCAGCCCUCAAUCAUUCCCGCAGUCCUCUCUCUCUCUCUCUCUCCCUCUCUCUCUCUCUCCACCCCCCACCCCCUCAUCAUCCCUUUUUCAUUCCCUCCUCUUCAUCUCUCUUCCAGUCAGACAGAGCCUGAUGUAGGUCAGUGCGUCUGGUGCCUGUCUGGAGCUGCAGAGAGCCUGAGAGCUCCGUGCCUGGUCCUUGUCGACCCCUGCAGCGGCUGCCCAAGCUGAGGACAACGCUCCCUGGGCUACAUGAGGACAGAACCAGCCGGACUGACCUGACUUGCCUUGAAGUGGAGGAUGUCCCUGCAACUGUGAUGUAGAAGAUGAGGGAGGAGGGGGAUGCAGGGUGAUGUUGGGUGACUGUGCAAAGGAUUAGUUAGUGCAUGAUUUAUGCCAGUGGAUUUUAAAUGUUAAUGGGUAAGAAGACUGGAAGAGGAAGAGCCGAAAGUAACAAAUGCAUGGGAUUGGUGUCACAGUUUUGUUGUUUUUUCUUGCUGAUAUGAAGCAUUUGAAAGGAAUCUCUUAAAAGCGGGACAUUUUCAUGCAAGUCUGCCUUUGUAUCCCCCGUCUACAAACAACCUCUCUACACUUUGUCCACCUUUUUUUUUCUCCUCUCUGCCGAACUUCAUCACACUUUAUUUCUCUUCCCCAGCCCUGAAUCCUGCAUGUCUGUAGUCAUCGGUAAUUCUGAAAAAGAAAGUGAACACGAAACUCCAAUGCGACAUCAUCCUAGAAAAACAAAAAGAAGCCUAACCCAAAAACAUGUUUUCUCUUUUCUAUUGCAGUAUAUCCAUUGCCGCACUGCUCCAUAUGGAUCCGGAUCAAAAUGUUGGGUGUCGAAGGUCCCUUUCCUCCAUCAUGUCCAAUUUCCUAUUGAUGAAACUAAAGACCACAAAGACGACAAGGACAUCCAUUUUUGCAAAAAGGCAAAAAGCUCUGAAGACUGUUCCAUCUCCCAUUUCUGCUGUCCGUUCCUCCUCCUUCUCAUCUGCUCUCCUUCUUCAGUCUCUCACACUCCUUUGGCUUGUAGAAGAUGCCCCCGAAAACGAUUGUUGUAUCAGAGAGCCUAAAUGUGCACUUGUGUGUGUGUGUGUGUGUGUGUAUAUAUCAGUGUUGAUGAACAAGUUAGGUGUGUGUGACUGUAUACAGGUAUGCGUAGUGUGACUGUGUGUGCAGGAGUAUGUGUGUGGCUCUUGAUCCGACUCUGCAGCACAUCUGGUUCCUCCAGCGGUAAACCGGUUCUCAGCUGUUGGUGUCUGGCUUUGAGUUUGUGUGAAUGUGUGUUUGCUUUUUAGAGUUUGGGCUGCAUCACUGUGACACAGCAAUCAUAUGACCUGCUUCGUCAUCACUAUGCAGAUCUAAGAAUGUUAGAAUUUUCUGGGGUGUGGUGAAGCCGGGAGGGUCACACCUCCAUCUCAUCUGACCUCCAUCACUUUUUACCAACACGAGUAAAAAGUGAUUACAAAGUGAGCCCCAAAACCCCCUUCAUUCCUUUAAAACUCAACUUUACUUUUCCAUCUGAUUUGUAACUCUUAAACCUCCUCUUUGUCCAUAUUCUGUCAUUCAGAUAAUGUCUUAUUUUGUCAUUGCAGUCAUGCGACACUCAUCACUUUCUUUUCUCUUCAUGUCCAUCUGAGAGGUGGUUUACAACAAGUGGAGGUCAAAUGACCAUUAAGAGUGUAUUUAUGGACUAAACACAGUAUCAUCUAAACCUUUGCAAUAAACUGGAAACAAUGAUAACUCAUUUCAACAUGCAAUUACUCAAACUACAAAAACUUAGGAGUAAAAGCUGAGGCAGCAGCUCCACUUCUCCUUGUGUUUGCCCUUGUCCUUAUUUUUUGUCUUUCUCUCCUCAGUGCAGGUGUCUGUGUCCCCCAGUUGCCUCCUUGUUACCUGGUCAAGCCUCUCCACUCCCUCCUCCUUGCUGCACACCUGCCUCCUAUCAGCCUGCAGUGUCAAAGAACACAGGACUAUAAUCUGCCAGAUUAUCCUACUACCAGCAGUGGUAGAGUCUGCCUUUUGGAUUUUUUUUUCUGGCACUCCAUAAUUGAAGAUUUUCUGUUAGAUUAAGUCAGUUUCCUUUACCUAGUGCUUUGCCUGCCUGUCACCACCUUCUCUGACAGCUCCCUCAAUUAAAGCUCCCCUUGUUGGACAAUAAAUCGUGUGAGUCCA
rnacentral:lncRNA from 1 species